ensembl:lncRNA
GGUUUAUAUUGCUUAUUCGAUUAGAUGGAUCACAAUGUCACCAGACUACUACUGUGGAAAAACAAAACAGAACAAACAAAUAAACAAAUAAAAAAACCCUAUGCUGUUAAAAACAUACUUUCUAUGCAAAGCAUUUAUUACACAAUGAGAGGCCUGGACAAAUAAUUUCCAUAAUAAGAUCUCCCCCCCCCGAGAAGAUUCUGAAUAUUCAAACUGAAAGAGCAAAUAUUUUCCUGCAGAAGGUUGCAUGAAGACCCUGACUGUCAUCAAACAAGCACUGCUAACAUAUCAUAAGACUACAGGUACUCCACUUUGAACCUCCAAGGAACAUACGAGUUAUAAGAAAAGGUUACUAUGUGUUUAUUGAAAGUUGGCAUAAAAUACUAUUUUAGGCACAGUUACGUGUUGUGAAUAUAAGGAAGAAAAAACAUAUUACUAGAAGAAUUCAAUAGCACUUCUUUUAGCAUUUAUAGUCUCUCGAGAUCUCUCAGACUACUCAAAUAGAUCUGCAAAACGGACUUCAAAAUGUAAUAUUUAGAUAUUGGCAUAUUCUUGCCUUACCCUUACAGCUUUCUAAACUGUUUUCAGAAAGUCUGCUUAUCAAAGGAAUAUACGAAUUAUAAAUAAAAUAUUUCUUUUCUAGUGUUUGGGAGAAGGAACCAAAGAAAUACAUGUUCAUCUUCUCAGAAGUAAAACAGCAAUAGGUUAUUUUGAAGUACAAGUACCUUCUCCUGUUUACAGACUGUUAAAGUAUUUUCCUAUGGAGAUUUCUCUAUCCAAAGCAUCAGAAGAUUUCAAGGAACAUGAAGACAGUUGGAAUAUUAGAUACUUGUACAAAGAAUACAUCCCCAAGGUAGAACAGGUUGUCCAGAGGCCGAGGGGUCUCUUCGUUGGGGACCUUCAGAAGUGAUGCACACAUGGGCCUGGGCCCGUCAACCUCACCUAUGCUAUGAUUCUGUGAAAUGUUAAUUGAAUCACAUCAUAUUUCUGAUCACAACAAAUUCCAUCCUAUUAUAAGACAACACAACAGAGAUUAGCUUCAUCAUAGAUACUUUUUUCAGUGUUAGCCUCAUGUGUAAUUUAAAGCCCAAGAGCACCUCAUCACCAUGUAUGGAAUUAUACGCAUUUUCCUUCAUUCAGUGCCCUUAGACAGUAGAAAAAAAUGUAUUUUUGUACUGAAACUUAAACAUGGCAUGCCACCAAGUGCAUUUCAAUAUAUGCAUAGUUACGGCAUGUAGUAAGAACAGGUGCUUUGAUAUAAAGUCUAUACUGCACCUCCAGGGAAACAUCCGGAAUAAUCUGGUGUACUGAUGAAGUAGGAAUCAGAUAACCUGAUCUAUGCCUUAAGCCACCCAGCAUCCAUACAAAAACACCUUGCAGAAACUGUAAACUAGUUUUUCACCACUUCCACCUGUUCAACAGGGAUAUGGAAGCUGGAGUGCCUCUUACGCUUCUACUUGUUGAAGGCUGCUUUCAGUGAAGAAAUUGUUAAAUAAAAAGCAGCAAUUAUUUCUAUGAAUUUUUCCUCACAUAACAGCCAUCUACAUGAAAGCCACCUCUGCUUUGCUGCACCUCAACUGGCAAAAAGAGGCUGAGGUGACUGCAUCACAAGCAGAUGUAGGUCUCUGACCUUUAAGUACUCUCCCCUUAUACAGCGAAUUGAGACAUACAUCUGACCUGGACUCAAGAUAUUCAUUUCCAAUUGGAUUAAAAAAAAAAUCACAUAAGUAAUAUGACUAAUAUUUGCCUAACACUGUCUCCCAUCAUUUAACUUCUUGCAAAAGGCAUGACACAAAGCUAUCUAGAACAUACAAAUUCAGUACUUCUCUUGCAUGAAAACUAUAAAUACCAACAAUUAGUGACAUACGCAAGUGUCUUAUGUUAAGUGUUUCAUUAGAAAGUAUUUACAUACAUUUUGACAAAUUUCUGUGCUGAUCUGAAGAUCUGAAGAAAAUAAAGCUGAACUCAUAAAAAAAAAUUGAAUACUGCAUAAUUCUCCCAGUGUAACUCUUCCAAUGUAUUACAAUUUACUAGCAGGAUCUCUGCUGAAUUUAAAUAUUCAACAUAAAUUCUAGAUAGUAAGAUAGGAGUCAGAAACUCCCUGAUUGAAGUAGUCUUGGUAAAUUUUAUGACUUGUUUUCCUAUUUCUGACUUGCUUCAAAAAGAGUUUCUCAAACUGACUGUGAGAUGCUAACGUUUCCACAACCAUCAGCCUUUCACAUGAAGAGUGUACAACACAGUUACUGUCAUGGUAGCUUACAGCUGCGCAUUUUCCAAAUAAAUCUAUUUACCUAUCAUUUUUUCUUUACUCGAAAUGUCCUUCUAGUAAAAAAACUCCUCCCUUAUUCUUCUGUUUGAUGUUUAUGUUGCUGUUUUAAGUGUUGUGCUACGAAAAUAAAGUGCCUUCCCUGGUAUCAAAAAACUUGCCUUCUCUCCUGU